rnacentral:sRNA from 1 species
AGUCAGGAGACUGCGGACGAGGUGCUC